UAUCUUAGUGGCGGACGGGUGAGUAACGCGUGGGUAACCUGCCUUACACUGGGGGAUAACACUUAGAAAUAGGUGCUAAUACCGCAUAACAGGGAAAGAUGCAUGUCUUUUCCUUGAAAACUCCGGUGGUGUAAGAUGGACCCGCGUCUGAUUAGCUGGUUGGCGGGGUAACGGCCCACCAAGGCGACGAUCAGUAGCCGGCCUGAGAGGGUGAACGGCCACAUUGGGACUGAGACACGGCCCAAACUCCUACGGGAGGCAGCAG
rnacentral:rRNA from 1 species